rnacentral:ncRNA from 1 species
UAAAUAUUUCAUUGAUGUAUAAAAUUAGCUAUACCAAUUAAACUACAUAUGGCAGCAUACACGCAUUGUGGUACAUGGAUUAACCCUAAUAAUCUUUUAAAAAGCCUAUUAGUGAAGAAACAACCCAUAAACAUUUAUCGUUAAUGUUAAAACUACCCACAACACCAAUGUUUUAUAUUAUAUUAGCUAGGAAACUAGGCCCUAGAAAAUAAGUAAAAGGGGUGGCAAAAAAUGGUGCCAGCAGUCGCGGUUAUACCAAUACCCCAAGCUAAUUACAACAAAUCGAGACAACUACCAACUCUUAAGGCUACAAGAUUAACUUUUAAUGUAGAAAGUAAAUUAAAACUAAACCCAACCCAGCCAUAAUCCUAGCUGUCUCAACAAACCAUAAUCUUAGAACUCGGAUUAGAUACCCGACUACUAUAUGGCCCAACACAAAAAAGAAUACUACGAGCGAAAGCUUAAACCUCAAACAAUGUGGCGGUGCCUUACUCCUCAUCAGGGGAUCCUGUGGCUUAAUUCGAUAAUCCACGAAAAUCUUAGCUACCCUCGUACUUCAGCUUGUGUAUGGCCGUUUAUGCUUGCUCGAAAAAGAAAAAAAAGGAAGCAAUAGAACCAACUACUCAAAAAUUCAGGUGACAUACAGCCAAUGAGAAGCAGACCCAUGGGAUACAAAUAAACAUACUAUACAAACUUAAAGUUUCAAACUUUAACGAAGGAGGACUUGAAAGUAAGACUUUCAACUUUACACAAAAUAAGUCUGAAUAAGAACUAAAGCGCGCACAAAUCGCCCGUCACUCCGACAACAAAGUAGGACAAGUCGUAACACAGUAGGGGUAAUGGAAAUUGCCCCUAUCACAAU